rnacentral:rRNA from 1 species
GGAUGCGAUCAUACCAGCACUAAAGCACCGGAUCCCAUCAGAACUCCGAAGUUAAGCGUGCUUGGGCAAGAGUAGUACUAGGAUGGGUGACCUCUUGGGAAGUCCUCGUGUUGCAUUCC